rnacentral:rRNA from 1 species
CGGAUCCUUAAAGCGGCGGACUGGUGAGUAACGCGUGGGUGACCUACCUUAAGGAUGGGGAUAGCCGUUAGAAAUAGCGGGUAAUACCGAAUAGACUUGUCUGACUAUGGUUGGACGAGGAAAGGAGCUAAGGCUCCGCCUAUAGAUGGGCCCGCGUUCCAUUAGCUAGUUGGUGAGGUAAAGGCCCACCAAGGCGAUGAUGGGUAGCCGGCCUGAGAGGGUGAACGGCCACACUGGGACUGAGAUACGGCCCAGACUCCUACGGGAGAGCAGCAGCUACAGAAUAUUCCACAAUGGACGAAAGUCUGAUGGAGCGACGCCGCGCUGUAUGAAGAAGGCCGAAAGGUUGUAAAGUACUUUUGCGGAUGAAGAAUAACGCGGUGGAGGGAAUGCCAUCGUGAUGACGCUAGUCCGUGAAUAAGACCCGGCUAAUUAC